CACCCCUUCUGAAGAGUGCUGAGGGCGAAAGACCAACACCAUGACGUCUGUGGCUAAGGACGAGUGAAAAUAAAAUCAUUUGGCAACCGAAAUGCCUUUUAAGGGGCUCACAGCUAAAAUGAGAACUAUGAAAACAACAACAAUGUGUUGUUAUUGCCAAAGCCAUGUGAAGUAAACAAAAGCAAAAACAAUAAAAAAGUGCAUAAGAAUUACAACAAAUGAAGAGACUUGCAAUAAACCUCAAUUAAAACUGAAAUUUUAUAUACUCUCUGCAAGAAAAGUAAAACGUCAAUUAAGAAAAACAAAAAAACAAAAAAAAAAUAAAAGUGAAAUAAUCCAUAGACUCAUGACAGCCACCAACAGACAGGCAGACAUCGUUUGGAAAUGAAAUCAACGGCAGUGGGCAAAUGAAAUACAAACAACGAAAUGUAGAUGGCUGUGGAUGAUACACAUAAAACGGAGGCCAGCCACACUUACACGCACGUGGACACCCAACAGUCAUAAACAAACGGAAAACAACGAUAACUUAGCAACAACAACAACAACCAAAAAAGAAAGAAAAACAAACAAAGAAAAUAGCGUCAAAACCAAACAGAGCCAAGUGCAAAACUUGUGACCCUAUCGUCACCACCAUCAUCCUUGUUGUUGUUCAGGGACAAAGGAAGCACAGGGAAUUGGAAUACCCAUGCAAAUGCCUUAGCGAAUAUUUUGGCCCUUCCCAAGGCAGCAGCAAGCAACCUGCGGUCUACAAAUGAAAUUGGCCAAAAGCAAUCAGUCAAUUAGUGUGGCUGUGUUCGGGAAAUAGUUGGACAUAAUUUUCCCUUAACACAGUAAUUACAACGAACAACAGAGUUAGAUGACAACAACUUGGGCCACCAACCAGCCAUAAUAAAACUAAAACAAAGAAGACAAGUAGCUUUAAAGAUUGAGAAUUUUGUUUCAGACCCCCCUCCUCACCCCCUUUAAAAGCACCCAUAUUUUAGAGAAUUUAAUUAUCUUCACCAAGUGAAGUUGAAAAGAGAAAUCUAAGGAACCAAACAAUAAAUAACACCAACUUUAGCUAAGGUGAACGCCCCCUCCACCACACUCUCACAAAUAUCUUUAAGCACGAAGCAAGCCAGAAGGAUCCUUUUCGCCACCCAACAAAGACUGAUUUAUGUUCAUAUCUUCAUCUUCAUCUGUAACUACAACUACUGCGUCCUCAUCAACAACAUCAACAUCAACAUCAAGAUCGUAGUCGACAUUGUCAGCAACAACUUUCGCAUAGCCAUCUUUAGUUAGCAGAACUUGUAUUUAAACAUAGCUGCAGUAGUCAAGGACCCUCCAACAUACACACACACACACACACACAAUCUCAAUAUACACGUAUUAUGAAAAUUGUAAAUUUCCAACCUUAUUAUCCCGAACUUGUCAACGAAGUCAGUAGCAACAGCAGCAGCAGUAAAAUCAGCAACUUCAUCCACAUCAGCAACAAAACAAGGACCAACUAUAACAAAAGCAGCAGCAGCAGCAGCAGCAGCAGCAACAUCAACUUUCAAACAAUUCGGCCCUGCCAUCAUUUUCACCUGAAUUUGUGCUACUUCCACAUUCGCCUUAACGCGAAUACUCUGGAAGCCUGGAGGCAACGAACAAGAACGUGUCGAAAUAUUUUUAUGGCCAACAUGUUUGUGUUUAUCAUCAUCAUAUUAAUUGUGAAUGCCUGCAUAGCCGGCACCAUACCAGCGACGCCGGAAAAUAUAACAGUCACCUUCCUAACACCGACUACAGUGCGGGUUUCAUGGCAGACAAUGAUCGAUUUGAAUGCACAUCCUGUGGAGAAGUACAUAGUGACAUACAAGCCCACAGAUGACA
rnacentral:sRNA from 1 species